rnacentral:rRNA from 1 species
UACGUAGGGGGCAAGCGUUGUCCGGAAUCAUUGGGCGUAAAGAGCGUGUAGGCGGCCCGGUAAGUCCGCUGUGAAAGUCCAGGGCUCAACCCUGGGAUGCCGGUGGAUACUGUCGGGCUAGAGUGCGGAAGAGGCGAGUGGAAUUCCUGGUGUAGCGGUGAAAUGCGCAGAUAUCAGGAGGAACACCUAUUGCGAAGGCAGCUCGCUGGGACGUAACUGACGCUGAGACGCGAAAGCGUGGGGAGCGAACAGG